GAAUUGGAAAAUCAGAAAGGAAACAAAAAAGCAUGAAAUAUUUCUAGGUUAUAGUUCUAGUAGCAGUUAGCUCAGAAAUGAUUUCUUCCCAUCCCAAAGAAGAAAUGCAAUGGGAAUUACUCUGUCUCACCGAUCUGAGUCUUCCUGGUCCUUAGGGCUUUUUGGCUAAAAGUCAAUUUGGUUUUGCAGCCACCUACCCUCUUCCCCCUUCUAAGAUCCAAAAAGAAUGAAAACCAAGGUUGUCACUUACUGAGCAUGAUGGAUUAUCUGCAAGACGGCCAUCAACGAUUCCUUCCAUCCAUGUAUGUGCAUGCUGCUUCUCCUCUCAAGUGGGAGAGUCUACUUCUCUUCCUCGCGAACCUGUGUCUUGUUUUGACCAAUAGAAUGUAGCAGAAGUAACACCCUGUGAAGGCUCGAUCCAGGUCUUAAGACUUUGGUGGAAUUUAUUUUUGCACUCUUUGGAGCUCUGAGACACCACGUUAAGAAUUCUGAUCACCUGCUGAAGAGAAAGCCCAUGUGGAGAGAAACGGGCUGCUGGAAGUGAGAUACUACAGUGAGCGACAGAGAGGCAGAAAGAGACAGCAAGCCCAGCCAACACCUAGUAGUUCCUGCCACCCCAGCUGCAGCACCAGCCAAGUGAAAGAAGCUAUUUUAGAUCCUCAACCCCAGGCUGAGAUUAUUGACGCUGGAGCCACAUCUUUUCAUCUCUAUGUUUCUGGAAAUAGCAUCUAGAAAAACACUUGGAAUAUACUAGGACCUCAGCAUAUGACUGUGGGCUGUCUCAUAAGAGCCAGACUUAUAUAGUGUGUGUUGUGUUUCAGGCACAACUCUGAGCAUUAAUGUCUAUAUACUCUCAUUUAAAAACUCUAACACCCAGCAUCCUCUUAUUACCACCCCUGUGUUACAGCUGCAGAACCUAGAACAUUGUAGGGUAGAGUAACCUGCCUAAGCUCAUACAGCUAACAAGUGUCAAGAGUAUACAGUGGAGAUUCCAGGUCAGUCUGGCUGCAGAGUGCAGGUCCUUAAACACUACCCCACACCACCCUCAAAGAAGGGCCUCCUUGACAAUGCCUUGGGCUUGGCAGCUCAAAUUCCUCUAGCAAGCUAGAAUUGGCAUUGGCUUCCUGUGUGCUCUAGACUAUGAAGGAUUAAGAGGCUGCAUCAGGACUGGCUGAGAAAGAAUGCUUUGAUCAACUAGCCACUCCCAGAGUCGGAGCCACAAAAUAGUACCAAUCCCUGAUUGCUGGGUGAUAGGCCAUGCAUACCUGCUAAGAAAGGGGUUGUCCCGCACACCAACCUCCCAGUUUAAGUGUCUGCAUGGUUUGGACUUUGGAUGAUUCGUAAAUAGUAGAAGCCACAAAUAUCCAUCCUUAUCUGCCAAGUCUCUUCCUUAUUAAACGUCUCUGGCCAGGUCAGCUCCAUUCUGGGAAUAAUUUUGCUUAUUAACCUAGAGCCCUGUCUCAGGUGGCUGGCUUUUGGGUUAAAGAGCAAAGGAAAUGAAUAAAAGCACAUAGCCGUGCACAAAGAGGAUCUGGCUUAUUUAAUGUACUUACUUCUGACAAACCCACGACUGGAUUUCUUAUGUGUGGAAGCGAGUUUCUACUGGACCUUCUGAAGCAGUAGAGACAGGGUUUCACCAUGGUCUCAAUCUCCUGACCUCGUGAUCCGCCCGCCUCGGCCUCCCAAAGUGCUGGGAUUACAAGUGUGAGCCACCGCGCCCAGCCUUGAAGCAGGAGCAGAAUUUGAGAGGAUCCUGAAUCCCCACAAAGCCUAUCCUGCAGGCCGGCCGACAGCACUGCAAGGACAGCAGCUCUCUCCACAGCAUCCAGGCCUGAACCUGUGACCCCAACUCCACGAGCAGGGCCAUUACCCACCCUUGAGACUGCCGGCAUUAAGAUCCUCUCAUUAGUGGCCAUGCAGAUUGUUCCCGGCGAUAAUGAGGUGGCAAGAGAAGAAACCAUCCUGGGGGAACUUCUGAAAGCCAAGCCUUCGACAGUAGAUGAAUUCCUAACCUGCCGUUUUAAAAACCGUCUCUCCAAAUUGCCAGGAAUAUUUUUUUCCAGGAAAGCUUUGACCCUUCUCUUUAUCCUUCUUCUUAGACCAUGUGCUGAAAGAGGUAGAAUUCCAUACUCACUCACCCCUUUCUUCCCUUGCAUCUUUGUUUUCAUCUCCAUCUUUCUCUUGCCUCCUUUCUCUCCCUUUUUCUGUCUUUUCCCUUUUUCCCCUUUGUUCCUUCUCUUUUUCCCCUUUAUUCUCCUAUCCCUUCACACAGCAUAGAGAAGCAAGCUUUGGAACAAAAUACAUUUAUGGGUCCAAAUUGCAGCUCUGCUCCCUGGUAAUUAGGGAUUUGGGCAAGAUUAUCAAUUUUUUUUUUGGAGCCUCUGUUAUUUAUCUGAAAACGGAGACUAAAAUUUUCAGGGUCUUAAGGUUAUUAAAUGACCUUAUUUAUAGAAAGAGACCUGUUAAGGUAUAUGGGCACAUAACUGGCACAGAAUAAAUGCAGGUACCUUCCUGUAUUCAGCAAGGCUUUAUUGAGUUGAGUCCAUGUUAUAUGUAAAGUCCUGUGGUAGAUACCGGGAGACAGAAUAAGUUUUGGUUUCUUCUGUUAACUAAGUUUUCCAUUUUGAUACUGAAGAAAAGCCAGGGAAUUUUAGAUUUUCUUAAACUAAAUAAAGAUAAAUAUUUUUCCUAGUGUAUAUCAAAUAUUCAAUUGGCUACAACUAACUUCUUUUCUCAAAGCCAAGCAAACUGAGGCAAAGGACAUCACGGCAAUUAAAAUGUUCAUAUCGUCCAAAUCACUUACUUGGGUGACGUCUUGUCCCUCCCAUAGAACACGUUUACAGAAAGAAGAGUUUCUUUUUUUGUUGUCGAUUUUAUUUUCUGUUGAUUUUUUUUUCCGAAGGUAGGAUUAUGAACUACUUUAAGGCCCUCUGAAACUAGGAAGGAUGUGAGUAAAGAACAAUGUCACAUCAUUAUUUUUAUUUGCAUUUUUUAAAUUACUAAUGAGGUUGAACACAUUUCCACAUUACUUUCAAGGUACUCUGCUAGAACUUGUUUUAUGAUUUUAAUUGGUCACUGUCCAUCUGGUAUCUUCUCUACUAUGCCAUGAGCUUCCAGAGAACAGAGCCUGAGCAGCACUUGUCUUUCUGUUAUCUUUCAACAUAUCCAAACUGUUAUCAUUUCAACAAGUGGCACUAGCCACAUUUCAGGUGCCCAGUAGCCACGUGUGGUUGGACAGUGUGGUGUGAAGUGUGGCACCAGGGAGGUGGGCCUUCGCUGCUGCUGCUGCCCUCUGGUGGAUGUACAGGUGAGUGGCCUCUCACAAAUGAGGGUUGUGGGUGCAAUGAAGACACCAGCCCAUGUGUCCUACUAACCUUUAUCAUAGCCCCUUCACUCCUCUUA